UACGUAGGGGGCAAGCGUUGUUCGGAAUUACUGGGCGUAAAGGGCGCGUAGGCGGCACGACAAGUCGGGAGUGAAAGCCCGGGGCUCAACCCCGGAAUGUCUCUCGAAACUGUCGAGCUAGAGUGCAGAAGAGGCAACUGGAAUUCCCAGUGUAGCGGUGAAAUGCGUAGAUAUUGGGAAGAACACCUGAGGCGAAGGCGGGUUGCUGGGCUGACACUGACGCUGAGGCGCGAAAGCCAGGGAGCGAACGGG
rnacentral:rRNA from 1 species